CGGCGAACGGGUGAGUAACACGUGGGUAAUCAACCCUCGGUACUGGGAUAGCCCGGGGAAACCCGGAUUAAUACCGGAUGGCCCUUCGGAUCUUCGGAUCUGACGGAAAAGGUAGCUUCGGCCUCCGACCGAGGACGAGCCCGCGGCGGAUUGCUUGUUGGUGGGGUAACGGCUCACCAAGGCGACGAUCCGUAGCUGGUCUGAGAGGACGAUCAGCCACACUGGGACUGAGACACGGCCCAG
rnacentral:rRNA from 1 species